rnacentral:lncRNA from 1 species
AUGCAGAUCUCAACAAAUCUGAAGCAUAACCAAGAAACCAAAACAGAAAGCAAUCCACCAAACGAUCUGAACAACACCAAACCGAGCAACCACCUCCAGAGGAGCGGUGCCAGAGAUCUCCCGGUUGAAAGCCAAAGUGAUGGUGUUGACAAUCCAGCGAAGCGUCAGACCAAACCGAUCACUCCGUUUAUAAAAACAGAUCUAAACAAGCUUCUAUCUUUGAGAAAAGCCACGACGGCGGUUUCAACAUCUGUGACGUUGUUACUCCGGUUUGAGUUAGAUGUGGUACGACCUUGA